CCCUGGGAGAGGAGCACUGUCCUGCCAGGAUUGGUUGCUUCUAAGUGGUAGCCAGUGACACUGAGAGCCAUUGGUCAGUGUGCUGAGAUAGGUGGGAAGCACAAGAAACACCUGGGUUCUGUUUGGCAUCUGCUUCAGUCAGAAUGCUUCAGAGGGAGGUGCACCUCAGCAAGAGUGGAGACAGCAGUGAUGAGGAAGUUGUUGAAAAGCCACCUUCUGCGAUUGCUCUGCCAAGCUUCAGGUUUGUUCCCAA